AUUGAACGCUGGCGGCAGGCCUAACACAUGCAAGUCGAGCGAGCGGCGGACGGGUGAGUAAUGCCUAGGAAACUGCCUGAUGGAGGGGGAUAACUACUGGAAACGGUAGCUAAUACCGCAUACCAUCAGAUGUGCCCAGAUGGGAUUAGCUAGUAGGUGGGGUAACGGCGCACCUAGGCGACGAUCCCUAGCUGGUCUGAGAGGAGGACCAGCCAAACUGGAACUGAGACACGGUCCAGACUCCUACGGGAGGCAGCAGGGGGGAAUAUUGCACAAUGGGCGCAAGCCUGAUGCAGCCAUGCCGCGUGUGUGAAGAAGGCCUUCGGGUUGUAAAGCACUUUCAGCGGUGAGGCGUUACCCACAGAGAAAGCCACGGCUAACGCCGUGCCAGCCGCCGCGGUAAUAC
rnacentral:rRNA from 1 species